UUGCCAGCAGGCCCUUGUGGUGCUGGGGACUCACGGGAGACCGCCGGGGUCAACUCGGAGGAAGGUGGGGACGACGUCUAAGUCAUCAUGCCCCUUAUGUCUUGGGCUGCACACGUUCUACAAUGGCCGGUACAAAUAGCUGCGAUACCGUGAGGUGGAGCGAAUCUCAAAAAGCCGGUCUCAUUUCGGAUUGGGGUCUGCAACUCGACCCCAUGAAUUCGGAGUCGCUAUUAAUCGCAAAUCACCAUUGCUGCGGUGAAUANGUUCCCGGGCCUUGUACACACCGCCCGUCACGUCACGAAUGUCGGUAACACCCGAAUCCGGUGGCCCAACCCCUUGUGGGAGGANCUGUCUAAGGUGGGACUGGCGAUUGGGAUCAAUCGUAACAAGGUAUCCGUACCGGA
rnacentral:rRNA from 1 species